rnacentral:rRNA from 1 species
GAUGAACGCUAGCUACAGGCUUAACACAUGCAAGUCGAGGGGCAGCAUGGUCUUAGCUUGCUAAGGCCGAUGGCGACCGGCGCACGGGUGAGUAACACGUAUCCAACCUGCCGUCUACUCUUGGACAGCCUUUCGAAAGAAAGAUUAAUACCCGAUGGUAUAAUUAGACCGCAUGGUCUUGUUAUUAAAGAAUUUCGGUUAUCGAUGGGGAUGCGUUCCAUUAGGCAGUUGGUGAGGUAACGGCUCACCAAACCUUCGAUGGAUAGGGGUUCUGAGAGGAAGGUCCCCCACAUUGGAACUGAGACACGGUCCAAACUCCUACGGGAGGCAGCAGUGAGGAAUAUUGGUCAAUGGGCGCAGGCCUGAACCAGCCAAGUAGCGUGAAGGAUGACUGCCCUAUGGGUUGUAAACUUCUUUUAUAUGGGAAUAAAGUUUUCCACGUGUGGAAUUUUGUAUGUACCAUAUGAAUAAGGAUCGGCUAAACUCCGUGCCAGCCGCCGCUGUAA